GAUGAUUUUAAUUCAGUAUUUUAGUGGAAUUUUGUAACAAAAAAAAAGGAAAUGAUAAUUUUGUAUUUUAGUAGAAUUUUGUGACAAAAAGGAAAUAAAUGAUAGUUUAUAGGCACGUGCCGAUAAGAUGUUGCUAAUGCAUUUCCUAUAUUUCUUCUAGACACAGCCAAACAAUAGCAGUGUAUUUUCUAGAUUGCAUCUAAAUACUACCCUUACAGGUAAUAUAUUAAGUCAGUAAUAUAUUUC
rnacentral:lncRNA from 1 species